rnacentral:rRNA from 1 species
GAUGAACGCUGGCGGCGUGCUUAACACAUGCAAGUCGAACGGUGAAGCAGGAGCUUGCUCCUGUGGAUCAGUGGCGAACGGGUGAGUAACACGUGAGCAAUCUGCCCUGGACUCUGGGAUAAGCGUUGGAAACGACGUCUAAUACCGGAUACGAGGCGUGGGGGCAUCCCCAACGCCUGGAAAGAACUUCGGUCCAGGAUGAGCUCGCGGCCUAUCAGCUAGUUGGUGAGGUAACGGCUCACCAAGGCGACGACGGGUAGCCGGCCUGAGAGGGUGACCGGCCACACUGGGACUGAGACACGGCCCAGACACCUACGGGUGGCAGCAGCAAGGAAUCUUCGGCAAUGGGCGCAAGCCUGACCGAGCAACGCCGCGUGGAGGACGACGGCCUUCGGGUUGUAAACUCCUUUUAGGGGGGACGAUACGGACUGUACCCCCUGAAUCAGCCCCGGCUAACUCUGUGCCAGCAGCCGCGGUAA